rnacentral:rRNA from 1 species
GACGAACGCUGGCGGCGUGCUUAACACAUGCAAGUCGAACGGGCCGUGGGGGCAACUCCAGGUUAGUGGCGGACGGGUGCGUAACACGUAAGCAACGUGUCCGAGGGUGGGGAUAGCCGGCCCAACGGCCGGGUAAUACCGCAUGCAGUCACGGGGGCAUCCUCUGUGACGAAAGCCGGGGCAACCCGUGGCGCCCGCGGAGCGGCUUGCGGCCUAUCAGCUAGUUGGUGGGUCACGGCUCACCAAGGCGACGACGGGUAGCUGGUCUGAGAGGAUGACCAGCCACAUUGGGACUGAGACACGGCCCAGACUCC